rnacentral:rRNA from 1 species
GGUUAAGCGACUAAGCGUACACGGUGGAUGCCCUGGCAGUCAGAGGCGAUGAAGGACGUGCUAAUCUGCGAUAAGCGUCGGUGAGGUGAUAUGAACCGUUAUAACCGGCGAUGUCCGAAUGGGGAAACCCAGUGUGUUCCGACACACUAUCAUUAACUGAAUCCAUAGGUUAAUGAGGCGAACCGGGGGAACUGAAACAUCUAAGUACCCCGAGGAAAAGAAAUCAACCGAGAUUCCCCCAGUAGCGGCGAGCGAACGGGGAGGAGCCCAGAGCCUGAAUCAGUGUGUGUGUUAGUGGAAGUGUCUGGAAAGGCGCGCGAUACAGGGUGACAGCCCCGUACACAAAAAUGCACAUGCUGUGAGCUCGAUGAGUAGGGCGGGACACGUGGUAUCCUGUCUGAAUAUGGGGGGACCAUCCUCCAAGGCUAAAUACUCCUGACUGACCGAUAGUGAACCAGUACCGUGAGGGAAAGGCGAAAAGAACCCCGGCGAGGGGAGUGAAAAAGAACCUGAAACCGUGUACGUACAAGCAGUGGGAGCCCUGAUUUAUCAGGGUGACUGCGUACCUUUUGUAUAAUGGGUCAGCGACUUAUAUUCUGUAGCAAGGUUAACCGAAUAGGGGAGCCGGAGGGAAACCGAGUCUUAACUGGGCGUUAAGUUGCAGGGUAUAGACCCGAAACCCGGUGAUCUAGCCAUGGGCAGGUUGAAGGUUGGGUAACACUAACUGGAGGACCGAACCGACUAAUGUUGAAAAAUUAGCGGAUGACUUGUGGCUGGGGGUGAAAGGCCAAUCAAACCGGGAGAUAGCUGGUUCUCCCCGAAAGCUAUUUAGGUAGCGCCUCGUGAAUUCAUCUCCGGGGGUAGAGCACUGUUUCGGCAAGGGGGUCAUCCCGACUUACCAACCCGAUGCAAACUGCGAAUACCGGAGAAUGUUAUCACGGGAGACACACGGCGGGUGCUAACGUCCGUCGUGAAGAGGGAAACAACCCAGACCGCCAGCUAAGGUCCCAAAGUCAUGGUUAAGUGGGAAACGAUGUGGGAAGGCCCAGACAGCCAGGAUGUUGGCUUAGAAGCAGCCAUCAUUUAAAGAAAGCGUAAUAGCUCACUGGUCGAGUCGGCCUGCGCGGAAGAUGUAACGGGGCUAAACCAUGCACCGAAGCUGCGGCAGCGACACUGUGUGUUGUUGGGUAGGGGAGCGUUCUGUAAGCCUGCGAAGGUGUGCUGUGAGGUAUGCUGGAGGUAUCAGAAGUGCGAAUGCUGACAUAAGUAACGAUAAAGCGGGUGAAAAGCCCGCUCGCCGGAAGACCAAGGGUUCCUGUCCAACGUUAAUCGGGGCAGGGUGAGUCGACCCCUAAGGCGAGGCCGAAAGGCGUAGUCGAUGGGAAACAGGUUAAUAUUCCUGUACUUGGUGUUACUGCGAAGGGGGGACGGAGAAGGCUAUGUUGGCCGGGCGACGGUUGUCCCGGUUUAAGCGUGUAGGCUGGUUUUCCAGGCAAAUCCGGAGAAUCAAGGCUGAGGCGUGAUGACGAGGCACUACGGUGCUGAAGCAACAAAUGCCCUGCUUCCAGGAAAAGCCUCUAAGCAUCAGGUAACAUCAAAUCGUACCCCAAACCGACACAGGUGGUCAGGUAGAGAAUACCAAGGCGCUUGAGAGAACUCGGGUGAAGGAACUAGGCAAAAUGGUGCCGUAACUUCGGGAGAAGGCACGCUGAUAUGUAGGUGAAGCGACUUGCUCGUGGAGCUGAAAUCAGUCGAAGAUACCAGCUGGCUGCAACUGUUUAUUAAAAACACAGCACUGUGCAAACACGAAAGUGGACGUAUACGGUGUGACGCCUGCCCGGUGCCGGAAGGUUAAUUGAUGGGGUCAGCGCAAGCGAAGCUCUUGAUCGAAGCCCCGGUAAACGGCGGCCGUAACUAUAACGGUCCUAAGGUAGCGAAAUUCCUUGUCGGGUAAGUUCCGACCUGCACGAAUGGCGUAAUGAUGGCCAGGCUGUCUCCACCCGAGACUCAGUGAAAUUGAACUCGCUGUGAAGAUGCAGUGUACCCGCGGCAAGACGGAAAGACCCCGUGAACCUUUACUAUAGCUUGACACUGAACACUGGUCCUUGAUGUGUAGGAUAGGUGGGAGGCUUUGAAGUGUGGACGCCAGUCUGCAUGGAGCCGUCCUUGAAAUACCACCCUUUAAUGGCUGGUGUUCUAACGUUGGCCCGUAAUCCGGGUUGCGGACAGUGUCUGGUGGGUAGUUUGACUGGGGCGGUCUCCUCCUAAAGAGUAACGGAGGAGCACGAAGGUUGGCUAAUCCUGGUCGGACAUCAGGAGGUUAGUGCAAUGGCAUAAGCCAGCUUGACUGCGAGCGUGACGGCGCGAGCAGGUGCGAAAGCAGGUCAUAGUGAUCCGGUGGUUCUGAAUGGAAGGGCCAUCGCUCAACGGAUAAAAGGUACUCCGGGGAUAACAGGCUGAUACCGCCCAAGAGUUCAUAUCGACGGCGGUGUUUGGCACCUCGAUGUCGGCUCAUCACAUCCUGGGGCUGAAGUAGGUCCCAAGGGUAUGGCUGUUCGCCAUUUAAAGUGGUACGCGAGCUGGGUUUAGAACGUCGUGAGACAGUUCGGUCCCUAUCUGCCGUGGCGCUGGAGAACUGAGGGGGGCUGCUCCUAGUACGAGAGGACCGGAGUGGACGCAUCACUGGUGUUCGGGUUGUCAUGCCAAUGGCACUGCCCGGUAGCUAAAUGCGGAAGAGAUAAGUGCUGAAAGCAUCUAAGCACGAAACUUGCCCCGAGAUGAGUUCUCCCUGAGACUUUAAGUCUCCUGAAGGAACGUUGAAGACGACGACGUUGAUAGGCCGGGUGUGUAAGCGCAGCGAUGCGUUGAGCUAACCGGUACUAAUGAACCGUGAGGCUUAACCUU